AUUGAACGCUGGCGGCAUGCUUUACACAUGCAAGUCGAACGGUAACAGGUUAAGCUGACGAGUGGCGAACGGGUGAGUAAUGCAUCGGAACGUGCCCGGUCGUGGGGGAUAACACUUCGAAAGAAGUGCUAAUACCGCAUACGAUCUGAGGAUGAAAGCGGGGGACCGUAAGGCCUCGCGCGAUCGGAGCGGCCGAUGUCAGAUUAGGUGGUUGGUGGGGUAAAGGCCCACCAAGCCGACGAUCUGUAGCUGGGCUGAGAGGACGACCAGCCACACUGGGACUGCGACACGGCCCAGGCUGCUACGGGAGGCAGCAGUGGUGAAUUUUGGACAAUGGGCGCAAGCCUGAUCCAGCAAUGCCGCGUGCAGGAAGAAGGCCUUCGGGUUGUAAACUGCUUUUGUACGGAGCGAAAAGGCUCUCUCUAAUACAGGGGGCUGAUGACGGUACCGUAAGAAUAAGCACCGGCUAACUACGUGCCAGCCGCCGCUGUAA
rnacentral:rRNA from 1 species